rnacentral:rRNA from 1 species
UACACUCCUACGGGAGGCAGCAGUGGGGAAUAUUGCACAAUGGGCGCAAGCCUGAUGCAGCCAUGCCGCGUGUAUGAAGAAGGCCUUCGGGUUGUAAAGUACUUUCAGCGGGGAGGAAGGCGAUAAGGUUAAUAACCUUGUCGAUUGACGUUACCCGCAGAAGAAGCACCGGCUAACUCCGUGCCAGCAGCCGCGGUAAUACGGAGGGUGCAAGCGUUAAUCGGAAUUACUGGGCGUAAAGCGCACGCAGGCGGUCUGGCAAGUCGGAUGUGAAAUCCCCGGGCUCAACCUGGGAACUGCAUUCGAAACUGGCAGGCUAGAGUCUUGUAGAGGGGGGUAGAAUUCCAGGUGUAGCGGUGAAAUGCGUAGAGAUCUGGAGGAAUACCGGUGGCGAAGGCGGCCCCCUGGACAAAGACUGACGCUCAGGUGCGAAAGCGUGGGGAGCAAACAGGAUUAGAUACCCCAGUAGUCCCAUG